rnacentral:rRNA from 1 species
AUUGAACGCUGGCGGCAUGCUUUACACAUGCAAGUCGAACGGCAGCACGGACUUCGGUCUGGUGGCGAGUGGCGAACGGGUGAGUAAUACAUCGGAACGUACCGCGUAGUGGGGGACAACAAGUCGAAAGAUUUGCUAAUACCGCAUACACUCUAUGGAGAAAAGCAGGGGACCUUCGGGCCUUGUGCUAUGCGAGCGGCCGAUGGCCGAUUAGCUAGUUGGUGAGGUAAAGGCUCACCAAGGCAACGAUCAGUAGCGGGUCUUAGAGGACGAUCCGCCACACUGGAACUGAGACACGGUCCAGACUCCUACGGGAGGCAGCAGUGGGGAAUCUUGCGCAAUGGGCGAAAGCCUGACGCAGCGACGCCGCGUGAGUGAUGAAGGCCUUCGGGUUGUAAAGCUCUGUGGGGAGAGACGAAUAAGUGCAGCCUAAUACGUUGCAUGAUGACGGUAUCUCCUUAGCAAGCACCGGCUAACUCUGUGCCAGCAGCCGCGGUAAAAC